UACGGGGGGAGCAAGCGUUGUUCGGAUUUACUGGGCGUAAAGGGCGCGUAGGCGGCACUGCAAGUCAGUUGUGAAAUCUCCGGGCUUAACUCGGAAAGGUCAACUGAUACUGUGCGACUAGAGUGCGGAAGGGGCAACUGGAAUUCUCGGUGUAGCGGUGAAAUGCGUAGAUAUCGAGAGGAACACCUGCGGCGAAGGCGGGUUGCUGGGCCGACACUGACGCUGAUGCGCGAAAGCCAGGGGAGCGAACGGG
rnacentral:rRNA from 1 species